rnacentral:rRNA from 1 species
UACGUAGGCAGCGAGCGUUGUUCGGAGUUACUGGGCGUAAAGCGUGCGUAGGCGGUGUCUUAAGUUUGUUGUGAAAUCUCCCGGCUUAACCGGGAGGGUGCGGCGAAUACUGAGAUGCUGGAGUGCCGGAGAGGUAAGCGGAAUUCCUGGUGUAGCGGUGAAAUGCGUAGAUAUCAGGAGGAACACCUGCGGCGAAGGCGGGUUGCUGGGCUGACACUGACGCUGACAGCGCGAAAGCUAGGGGAGCGAACGGG